GGCACGUGUUUAAUAAUCAGUGGAACAUCUGUCUCUUCCUGCCUCAGCGGAGUUCUUUGUGUUUCUUACAGGUUGUAGAUAAAUAUUCACUGAAGUUUCAGGCUGUGACCAGAAGUGGCACCAGCUCUGAGGGAAAUAGAAAACUGAUGUGUUGAAGUAGAAGAGGAAUUCAUGCUUAGAGUGAGAGAUGUGCUGGAAAGAUGUAGAGAAAUGAAGCACUGGGCAGAGAGUAAGCUGCAGCACGAGAUAGGCCCUGCCUUGCACCUGUUAUUGCUGCUGUCUACUCCCAGCAUUCCAAAAUUAACUGUCAUAGGGUAGAAGAAAACUGAAAUAAGGACCAAAGCCUGUCUAUGUGAACGCAAAGAUGUCACCGUAAGAGACUUCAUUGUUAUCAAUGCUACUUAGAGCCAGAAUCCCUGAAGUCUUAGUCACUCUUCAGCAAGAAAAUGGUGUCCUAACCCUGUAGUGGAUGCUUCAGAUGAUAAAACUGUAAACAUUGGUGAUGGACUCAGAAGACUCAAAUUACAGUCAAAUAUGUUAAAUAUUUAAAUGCUUUGCCUCCAAUGGUGCUGUGUUCAGACCACUGGUUUCAUUC
rnacentral:lncRNA from 1 species